CACGUCCCUAUACACCUACCUGGGGUAAAAAUGGACACUGGGACAUGUGCACAGACACCAACCAGCCCACACACCCUCAGCCGUUCCCCAGCCCAUGUGCACACACCUACAAUCUAAUUGCUUGUGCUGCCCGGGACCUAUUUCUGCCUGACAUUAACCCACGUGCUCACACAAACACCAACAAAUAUCAGUAUCUGGGGGUGGUUUUAAGAAGUGUAACCCAGGUGGCUGCCCAAUAGUUGCUACCCCUGCCCAAUAUCAGGGAUGGUGUGGUGAGAGUGGGGCAGGGCUUCUGGCCAGCACCAAUUUACUUUCUAGCUGGCCCCUGCUCCCCACAGAGCAGCCCCUUGUCCCAAGAAGGUCUAACACUUAACUGAUUUAACUAUUUACACUUUAUUUACAAAACAAGAAUAGGAAAGGUUAUUUACAAGUGAAUAAUGGCAUAACCAGAAUCACAACACCAACCAGAAUGCAUUAGUCAAGCCUUGACUCAAGAACCACAGGUAGGGUAACUGGCAGCCUUCAGCCACUGCUGAGGUGCUACCACAAAGAAGCAAGGUGCUCACUCCCUGCAGCUCCAACAGGCUUCCCAAUAAGCGACAGACUGCAACAGCUUAAGCUCUUCUGGUCUGCAGCAAUCAAAUUGUAUCAAAUCCCAACCCCUGAAAGAGGCUUUAGGGUGACCUCCGUGGCAACCAAAAAAGGCAAGCAACAAGCAACAGAGUAGGCUCUUGCAGCAAUCAGCAUGACCCAAGCACAAAGCUCAGGGACGCCAUCUGAUGACAAUCAGCUGCAGAAUAAGGGACAGGACUGAGUCCCCUCUGGGGCAGUCGGUGGCAGAGGGUCAGCAGCACAGGCAGCUCCCAGGGGUCGUUGCUCUAAAUCCCUGCUCCAGAUGACUGACCGGGUGCCCCACAUACCUCGCCAAGUCCACUUUGAGCGCCGGCCUGCACCCUGAGCUUCCAGGCACCCUUAUCCUGGCGCUCUGCUGCUCUUCAGGAUCCCAAUGCCUUGCCUGCUGCUGUCCCGCUUCCCCAGGGAAGGUGAGGGGUUUCCUCAACUCACCAGCCCAGCUCCGGAUAAGGAUGCCACCUGCGCUCCUGACCACUGCUUCUUCUCCGCAGCGAAGUGGGGGACCGACUGCCACCCCUAGCUUCUGGGACGCCCGGCAAAUCCAGCACACUGCGAUGUGGCCUUGGGGCACCAGCUCUCUGCCCCAAGCCCUGGCCGCUGCUCCCUCUCUGCUGCAGGGCUGGAGGCACGGCCAACUGCUACUGUCUUUUCUCCCAGGGCCUUCAAGCCUCCUCAGAGGGGUCUCUGCUCCCUCUGCUGGGUCAGCUCACGCCAGUUCUUCUUAGGCCUCCUGCAUCAUUCCCCAGAGUCACUGUCAGCAGCCCCCACAUGCCAGUUUGGCUGCUGCUUUUACCCCCUCUGGCAGUCCCUCCCUGGCUUGCAAACUGGCCAACCAGGGCUCAGGGUGGCUGGCCCCCGGCUCCGGCCAUCCCCCUUCCAUGUGAAUGAGGGGAUUGAAAACCCCUUCUUCUGAUUGGCUUCUCCUUUUCCACAGGCCAGGGCUCCUCUGCUGCAUCCUGGGGUCGCUCAGAGUUCACCAGCACUGUUUCUAGCCUAGGGUAAGUAUGUCAAACCAAUCUGGUGAGCCCACAUUGGCAGUCUGUUACAGAAGCCAAAUUUUGGCCAUUUGCCUGUGUGGAUGCUCAGCUCAGGACCAACAAGCACCACCAACUUCAUACCCCUGUGAGGAUCCCUGGGACCUCACGAGCAAGAUGAUUGUAACUAAUUUUUCCAGUUGAGACCAGCUCUGCUGGAACUGCACACUGGAGUUUACACUCCUCAUUUCUAACUAAAGCUCCCCAUUCUGCACAUGGCCAGGCCUGCGGGGCAGUAGGUCCAGCUGCCCAUAGCCAGUCCCAUCCAGAACAGGAAGAGGUUGGCUGCAAUAUCUCUGGUAUCCAUUCUUUCCUGCGCCCUGUUCCCAACCCUGUGGAGAGGAGCAGGAUGGAAGGAGCAUUUCACAUGGCCUCUACCAAGGCUGGGAAAUCAUACAAUCAUAGAAGUAGGGUCGGAAGGGACCUUGUAGAUCUUCAAGACCGACCCCCUGCCUGGGCAGGAGGAAAACUGGGCUCAAAUGACCCCAGUCAGGUAGGCAUCAAGGUGCUUCUUAAAGACCCCCAGGGUAGGAGCCAGCACCACUUCCCUUGGAAGUCGGUUCCAGAUCCUAGCCGCCCUGACUGUGAAGUAGUUCUUACGGAUGUCUAACCUAAACCUACUCUCCAACAACUUGUGGCCGUUAUUCCUUGUUAUCCCGGGGGGCACUAGGGGAAACAAGGUCUCCCCCAAACCCUUCUGGUCCCCCCUAGUGAGUUUAUAGAUGGUCACAAGGUUCCCCCUCAGCCUUCUCUUGUGAAGUCUGAACAGGUUCGGGUCCCAUAGCCUCUCAUUGUAGGGUCUGCCCUGCUGUCCCCGGAUCAUGCAGGUGGCCCUCCUCUGGACCCUCUCAAUGUUGUCCUCAUCCCUCUUGAAGUGGGGCGCCCAGAACUGGACACAGUACUCCAGCUGUGGCCUGACCAGUGUCGCGUAGAGGGGGGGGAUCACCUCCUUGGCCCUGCUUGAGAUGCACCUGUGGAUGCACGAUAGGGUCCGGUUAGCCCUGCUGACCGUGACCUUGCAUUGUCGGCCCAUGUUCAUCUUGGAGUCAGUGAUUACUCCAAGAUCCCUUUCUGCCUCUGUGCUCUCAAGAAGGGAGUUUCCCAUCUUAUAAGUGUGCUGCUGGUUACUACUGCCCAAGUGCAGCACCCUGCACUUGUCCAUAUUGAAACGCAUCCUGUUUUUGUUAGCCCACCCCUGCAACCUAUCCAGGUCUUGCUGCAGUCUUUCCCUCCCUACUAGCAUGCCCACCUCACCCCAAAUUUUGGUAUCAUCAGCAAAAUUGAACAGGUUGCUUUUCACCCCGUCGUCCAAAUCGCUGAUAAAGAAAUUGAACAAUGUGGGCCCAAGGACUGAGCCCUGGGGGACUCUAUUGCCCACUUCCCCCCGGGCCAAAUAUGACCCGUCCACCACCACCCUCUGAGUACGACCCCUUAGCCAAUUAGCAAUCCAUCUGACUGUGUAGGCAUCGAUGCCACAGUCGCCUAGUUUUUUAAUGAGGAUGGGGUGGGAGACAGUGUCAAAGGCCUUGCUGAAGUCCAGAAAGACUACAUCCACGGCAACACCUGCAUCCAAUGCUUUUGUGACCUGAUCAUAAAAGGCAGUCAGGUUGGUCUGACAUGACCUGCCACUAAUGAAACCAUGCUGGUUGCCCUUGAGCAUCAUCCCCGAUGCCGGCCCGUCACAGAUGUGCUCCUUGAUGAUCUUCUCAAAGAGUUUCCCCAGGAUUGAGGUAAGACUGACAGGCCUAUAGUUGUCCAGGUCCUUCCUCCUCCCUUUUUUAAAGAUGGGGGCCACAUUGGCUAUCUUCCAAUAACUGGAACCUGGCCCGAGCACCAUGAGCACUCAUAAAGCCGUGCCAAGGGCCCUGCAAUAACCCCUGCUAGCUUCCUCAACACCCCGGGGUGGAGAACAUCUGGACCUGCUGAUUUGAACACAUCCAGCCCCUCCAGAAGCCCUCUAACCCGGCCCUCCUCAACCUUAAGUCUGGAGGUGUUCCCCUCAAGUCCGUCUUGAAUCAUGGUGGGGGAGUCCCGGUCCCUGCACAAGAAAACGGAGGUGAAGAAUUUGUUAAAGAGGUCUGCCUUCCCCUCUGGCGCAACCACCAGAUUGCCCAGCACAUCUUGCAGGGGCCCCACAUUUCCCAGUGCCUUCUUCAUCCUCCCUAUAUAUUUGAAAAAGGACUUUUUAUUAUCUUUGAUCUUGGAUGCUAGUCCUAGCUCUAUGUCUGCCUUAGCUUUCCUAACAGCCUCCCUACAGGCCCGAGCAGUGGAGGUAUACUCUUCUUGCCUGAGGACACAGACCAUCUCUAGCUCCUGCCUUGCCGUGGACCCUGUGCAUGGUGUGCCACUGAGGGAAACAUGCAUCUGUUCCUCAUGCCUCAUGGUGUUCCAGCCCAGCCACAGUCAGCUGAUCUGCUCUUCCCCAUCUCUGGCUAGUAAGGGAAAAGGACCUUGCUUCGUGUCCAGGAUCAACAGUAAGAUUGCUGUUCACUCCACAUGAAAGCAGUGUUUGAAAAGCAUAAAGCAAAUGCAGAAAGUCUCCUCAGCUUCAACUUUACCUCAUCCAGAAGGGCAUGCAUCCAUCUCCAUGCUCCCUAAGGACUGUAAUAAACCAAUGUCCUGCUGCUGUGGCACAUGUGGGGCUGGCAGACAGCAUGCCAUCCAUUAUGCUCCCCACAAAGUCAAGGGCCUGGUUGGAUGGAAAGUAUUUGCCGAUGACCUGGAGACAAAUAGAAAGAAGGGAAAAAUGCACUGAACCCCAGAGUUCAAGAGUGAUAUUAAAGAGUUGUGCUGGGCAUAAGCUUCUGUCCUGUGGCGACUUGGUGCAUGUGCAAGAGGUGAAUCCAGUCUUCAAUGGAGAGAGCAUCAUUUGACAACACAGUAUGAACACAGCCAAGCUGCACCCCAGGAUAAAUUAAAACAGGCACACAAGGAGACCAAGUCCUGGCCGAGACUCUCACUCAGAUGCUGUACUGACAAAGGUUUGUUCUUCUGUGCAGGGACAGAACUAUCUACAACACUUUCUAAUCUUGUUCCGACUUAUUCUUUCUACCAUAGACAUGGAUAAACAGCGGCAGACAGUGGAUGAACAAUAAGUGUCCCAGAUGCCUCCCCCAUGCACUCCAAACCAUGUGUAAGUAAAGGAACGGACAAUGAAAGACUCCCAUUUCCCAGAGUCUCCACACCAGCUUCUUGAGCCACUGACCUUCGCCAUGUGGGAGGAUGCUAUAAGCACAGCCUCAGGGCUGUAGGCUUUGAGCUCCUCAUGGAGACCUCUCAGCUCCUCCUCUGUGGCAUCCAUGGUCAUGGAGUGGUCUGGAAUGAAAAUAAGAAGGAAAAAGUGCUGCAAUGAUGUCUGAAACAGAACCUUAGCUCCAUGGAGGAACCAUGUGCAAUGCCAUGGGCAGUGUGGUCCAAGGGUGAUGUUCGAGGUCUGAGUGACUUCAGUGGGGGCAGAGGUGCAGUGGGAUCAGAGCUGCUACAAGCCUCUCCCCAUUCUUGCUAGGGGAGGUUAUUUUCACACUUCCCAAAAGAGGGCCAGGCCCUUCACACCACACAACUCUUCUCUCCUAGGAGGAGAUCUUCCAAGGGCCAGUCAUGGCCCUUUUGAAGUGCUUUUGAGGUGUCACUAGACUAGUAGUGAAUGGACAGAGGAGAGGACUAGGCAUUACCGGAGGGAGAAAAGGGGCAGACUCACUUGCACCUACUCAGAGUGCCCUCACCUUGUAGGUGGAGAAGGCAGACAAUGCACUGAGCAGCCCAUAGGCGGGAUGUGGCCAGAGUGGUGCAGGUGUAGGGUGCCAGCAGCCCUAGCAGGGACCCAGAUUGCUCAAAAGGCUCUUGCAGCUGAGAAAAGAAGGAGAAAGAAAUGAAUGAUGUGUGCCUGGGUCUGGCUAGAGUGAUAUUCAAGUUUAUGAUCCUGGGAAGGUAAAAACAGGAAUGCAUCCCUGUGGGACCCUGUCUGCUAGGGAAGCUUUCUGCAUCUCAGGGUGAGGCUGCCAUGAGGAUAUCAAGGCAAGAGAGUUAGACUAUACUUACUCUGCAAUAGACUGUCUCCCUAUAGGCAGCAAGCAGCUGGGAGCUGGCCUGCAAGGCCCCAUCUCUCUCCCACUCCUUGUCAGAGAAGAACCAUGUCUCAAGAAGCUGUCGGGAGAGCAAACUGCUGUCAGAGGAAUCUUUAAAACAGCUCAGAGGAACCAUUUCAACAACAGACAUCACCAUCACCACUGAAAUCUCUCCAAGCAAUCUGAUUUUUUUAUCAUCUGGAUACAUCCCAGGCAGACUAGUUCCCCUGAAGCCAGAGGAGAUGUUGAGUGACCCCAGCACAAGAUGGUGCAGCUACUAGGGUUGUCAGUGGGAUGCAAGGGAAUUGCCAUCCAUUGCCCCAAGGACACCUUGGAAUGUAGCAUGAACUGGACUAAUGUAGCUGAUGUUAACCGAGUGUAAUAAUAGUGAAAUACAACCAUGUUAGUCUUGUCUUGUAAGCAACUUGAAAACUCUAUUUUGUAUCCUUCUGCUUGACAUAAGUGAAUAAACUCUGCAUAGCCUUUA